UACGAAGGGGGCUAGCGUUGCUCGGAAUCACUGGGCGUAAAGGGUGCGUAGGCGGGGCUUUAAGUCAGGGGGGAAAUCCUGGAGCUCAACUCCAGAACUGCCUUUGAUACUGGAGAGCUUGAGUCCGGGAGAGGUGAGUGGAACUCCGAGUGUAGAGGUGAAAUUCGUAGAUAUUCGGAAGAACACCAGUGGCGAAGGCGGCUCACUGGCCCGGUACUGACGCUGAUGUGCGAAAGCGUGGGGAGCAAACAGG
rnacentral:rRNA from 1 species